GGUAAGUUUUAAGUAUUUCGUCUUUAGAGGAGGAUUAUAGUACCAAGUCCCCCUCCUUGUGUACCUCAUUUUAAUUAAUAUAUGAAAUUCCCGCCCAAAUAUCUGAUUCCAAAACCUGGAAAGUUGCCCCAAAAAUGAUGGACCUCAGGUAAUCCAAUACCAGAAAUUGCAGGAUAGAUUGGAUGGAGGUUUGUAAUUGAAUAAACUUAUCAUCUUUUAGAUUUUAAUAACAUGUUUUCAAGUGACAUAGGAAAUGAAUCCAAAAUGACUAAGAAGAAUGUGGUUUGAGUUACUGGUCCAAAUCUAGAUUUUCCUAUGUGUAUCAAACAAGUGUGAGGGUUUACGCAUAUAAUUUGAUGAUAUAACCUCCAUCCAAACAUGAAGGAUACCU
rnacentral:misc_RNA from 1 species